CCCCCAACCUUCUCUUUGUUCCUCAGACAUAAAGAAAACCACCUGAUCUGUGUGCAUGCCCCCAGUUGCAAUUCUCCCCAAAUAAAAUGUUAAGAGAUUCAUCUCUACAUUUUUAUUUUUAUAUCAACAGUUGUUUUACAAAUACCCUUCAAAGGGAUCAAUUAUUUUACUAUGAUGAGCACAGUCAGAGAUGAAAGCUUAUAUACUAGCUUUUGCUUUUAAUCUAUCCUAGGCAUUCUAUUGAUAAUCAUAAUGUUUCAACUUUGGUCAUUUCAACUUUGCUUCUGAGCCCUUUGAUCUGAGUCAUCUUUCAUAUUUCCCUGCUUUCUGUUAUAAUGAGAUGUUCCAUCGUUGCCUAUAUUUCCUAACUCACACCUGAAUCUGUCAUUGUUCCAAACUAUUGUUUUCUUUUAGUGGGACACAGUAGUUAAGGAGCAAAAUCUAGAAGCUAGGAGUAUUUGUUGCUCUACAUGGUCAUUGUUUAUAGGCUUUUCAGGGAACAGAGCUAGGAGUGAGUAUGUUAUAUUAGCAUUUGAAUUCAUCCUGAACCACAGGGUUUUUUCUGAAUCUCACUAAUCUCACAUUUGCCAUUUCCUUUGUCUCAUGCCAAAUAGUCCAGUUUUCAAAAUUAGAACCAAAUUUUUUUUUUUUUUUUUUUUUUUUGAGACAGAAUCUUACUCUGUUGCCCAGGCUGGAGUGCAGUGGCACAAUAUCGGCUCACUGCAACCUCCACCUCCCGGGCUCAAGCCAUCCUCCCACCUCAGCCUCUCGUGUAGCUGGGACUACAGGCACUCACUACCAUGCCCAGCUAAUUUCCUUUUUAUUUUUUUGUAGAGGUGAGGUCCACCGUCCUGCCCAGGCUGUCCUAGAACUCCUGGCACUAGCGAGCCUCUCUCAGUCUCCCAAAGUGCUGGGAUUAUAGGCGUGAGCGAAUGCACCCAACCUGCCUUUUUCUUAUUGAUUUGCAGGAAUAUUUAAAACGCAUUCCUGUGUCAGGUAAGUAGGUCAAAAAUAUCUUCCGUCAGAUUGUGAUUUGUGUUUUUUUACUGAGUCUUUUCACUAAGUGCAAUUAAAAAAAAAAAAACACUAAUAGAGUUGAUGUUAUCAAUCUUUUUCUAUCGUUAUCAUUCUGUGUGUCUUGUUUAAAAAACCAUACCAGGUUGGGUGCAGUGGCUCAUGCCUGUAAUUCUAGUACUUUGGGAGGUUGAGAUGGGUGGAUCACCUGGGGUCCCAAGUUUGAGACUAGCCUGGCCAACGUGGCAAAAUCCUGUCUCUACUAAAAGUAUAAAAAUUAGCUGGGUGUGGUGGCACAUGCUUGUAAUCCCAGCUGCUUGGGAGGCUGAGGCAGGAGAAUGGCUUGAACUCGGGAGGCGAAGGUUGCAGUGAGGCAUGAUGAAGUCACUGCACUCCAGCCUGGGUGACAGAGUGAGACUCUGUCUCAAAAAAAAAACCUGUCUUAGUAGAGACGGGGUUUCACCAUGUUGGCCAGGUUGGUCUCGAACUCCUGACCUCAGGCGUUCCACCCACCUUGGUCUCCCAAAGUGCCUGGGAUUACAGGUGUGAGCCAGCGGGCCCAGCCUUUUGUUACAUUUAAUCUAGGCAAUUUAUAGCUUUGGUUGAGACUGUAAAUAAUGUCUUUAAAAAUUAUAUCCAACUAUUGCUAGUAUAUAAAAAUGCAACUGAAGUUUUAUACUGAUGUUAUAGUCAGUCGCUUGUGAAAUAUUUUUGUUUAUAUUAAUGUGCCUUUAGAUUCUUCUAGGUGUUCUAGGUAGAUAAUCAUAUAUCUGUAAAUAAUGACAGCUUUGUUUCUUUCUUUCCAAUUUUUAAUCUUUUUAUUGUUCAGAUGACGUUAUGUAUUUUUUCUCUUUUUAUCUUUAAUGUAGUGAUUAAUAUUUAAAGAUUUUUCCAAUUUUGAGCCAUUCUAGGAUUUCUGCAGAAACCAAAAUUUGGCAUGGUACAGUGUCUUUUUAAAAUUGUUUGGAUUGCCAGGCCCGGUGGCUCUCGCCUGUAAUCCCAGCACUUUGGGAGGCCGAGGUGGGCGGAUCACAAGGUCAAGAGAUCGAGACCAUCCUGGCUAACAGGUGAAACCCCGUCUCUACUAAAAAUACAAAAAAUUAGCCAGCGUGGUGGUGGCGCCUGUAGUCCCAGCUUCUUAGGAGGCUGAGGCAAGAGAAUGGCGUGAACCCGGGAGGCGGAGCUUGCAGUGAGCUGAGAUCACACCACUGCACUCCAGCCUGGGGACGGAGUGAGACUCCGUCUCAAAAAAAUAAAAAUAAUAAAAUUGUUUGGUAUUAUCAUGCUCACGGGUGGCUUUGGUCUUUUAAUUUUCCAUCUCAGACUUCUAUUUUCUGAUUUUACUAUCAGUGGUUACUUACCUCAUAGAAUGAUGGUUUGGGGCAUACUUAUUUCUCUCCUAUCCUCUGGAAGACUGUGUUUAAGAUUAGGUCAAUUUACUUCUAAACCGUAUGAACCUGUAAUAUUCUCUAUGGGAAUAUUUUACCUAUUUCAAUUUCUUGAAUAGUUGUGGAUCUACUCAGUCUUCCUGGCCUCAAAUUAGAUUUAUAAUCUAUGUGUUGUUUUAAUAAUUCACUGGCAUAAAGCUAUUACAUUACUGGGAUGGUAGCGCAUGCCUGUAAUCACAGCACUUUGGGAGGCUGGGCGGGAGGAUUGCCUGAGCCUAGAAGUCUGAGACCAACCUGGGCAACAUGACGAGACCUCAUCUCUACAAAAUAAAUGAACAGUAUUUGAUUUGUCAGGCACGGUGGCUCACGCCUGUAAUCCCAGCACUUUGGGAGGCUGAGGCGGGUGGAUCACUUGAGGUCAGGAGUUCAAGGCCAGCCUGGCCAACAUGGUGAAACCCCAUCUCUACUAAAAAUACAAGAAUUAGCCGGAUGUGGUGAUGAACACCCGUAAUCCCGGCUACUCGGGAGGCUGAGGCAGGAGAAUCGCUCGAACCUGGGAGGCGGAGGUUUCAGCGAGCCGAGAUCACGCCACACUGCACUCCAGCCUGGGCCACAGAGCAAGACUCCAUUCUCCAUCUCAAAAAAUAAGUAAAUAAAUAAUUUUAAACCUAUUAAAGUAUUUUUAAAAUUAUCUUUACAAUUUCUGAAGUACUUGUGGUUGUGCCCUGUUCUGUUUCUAAUAUUAUUGAUUUGUAAAUGUUUGUCCCUCUUAUUUAUUUAUUUAUUUUGAGAUGGAGUCUUACUCUGUGGCCCGGGCUGGAGUGCACUGUCGCAAUCUUGGCUCACUGCAACCUCUGCCUCCCAGGUUCAAGUGAUUUUCCUGCCUCAGCUUCCUGAUAAUGACUGGGAUUACAGACCACCGCCACCAUUCCCAGAUAAUUUUUGUAUUUUAGUAGAGAUGGGGUUUUCCAUGUUGGCCAGGCUGGUCUCAAACUCCUGACCUCAGGUGAUCCGCCCACCCCGGUUUUCCAAAGUACUGGGAUUACAGGCGUGAGCCACCUCACCCGGACCCUUUUAUUAAUAAUUUAAACAAGCACAUUUUAGUUUGUUAAUAUUCUGUAUUGUGUACUUUCUAUUUCAUUGAUUUGGGCUCUUUUUUUUUCCCUUCCAUUUUCUAUGGCGUUUAUUCAGAUUUUCCCCCCCAUCAUCUUCAGUUGAACAUAUAACUAGCUAACUAUUGUUCAUAUAGAGAGAUAUUAUUGGUUUUUGCAGGUUUAUCUUGCAUCUAACAACCUUGUUGAACUAUCUAAAUAACAAUAGCAUAAUUAUUGAUUUUGGAUUUCUCUGCCCUAAAAAUUCUCCGUGUUUCACCUAUUCAUCCCUCCCUCUCCCCAGCCCUGGCAGCCAUGAUGCUUUUACUGUCUUCAUAGUUUUGCUCCUUUCCAGAAUGUGACAUCGUUGGAAUCAUACAGUAUAUUGCUUUUUCAGAUUGGCUUCUUUCACUUUGCAAUAUGCACUAAAGUUUUCUUUUCUGUUUUCUUUAGAGACGAGGUCUUUCUCUGUUGCCCAGGCUGGAGUGCAGUUGCGCAAUCAUGGCUCACUGCAGCCUUGACUUCCCAGGCUCAAGUGAUCCUCCCGCCUCAACCUACAAAGCAGCUGGGAGGCCGGGCGCGGUGGCUCACACCUGUAAUCCCAGCACUUUGGGAGGCCGAGACGGGUGGAUCACGAGGUCAGGAGAUCGAGACCAUCCUGGCUAACAUGGUGAAACCCCGUCUCUACUAAAAAUACAAAAAACUAGCCGGGCGAGGUGGCGGGCGUCUGUAGUCCCAGCUACUUGGGAGGCUGAGGCAGGAGAAUGGUGUGAACCCAGGAGGCAGAGCUUGCAAUGAGCUGAGAUCCGGCCACUGCACUCCAGCCUGGGCGACAGAGCGAGACUCGGUCUCAAAAAAAAAAAAAAAAAAACCCCCCCAUCACGGUGGGGUUUUUUUUUGUUUGUUUGUUUGUUUGUUUUCUCAUGGCAGUCUGAGCUAAGACACUCAGCUUCUUUUUUCUUUUUAAAUUUAAAUUUAAAUUUUUAUUUUUAGAGACAGGUCUCAUUCUGUCACCCAGGCUGGAGUGCAGUGGUGCAAUCAUAGUUCACUGCAGCCUUGAACUCCUGGGUUCAAGUGAUUCUCCUGCCUCAGACUCCCAAAUAACUGGGAUUACAGGCAUGCACCACCACUCUCAGCUAAUUUAUUUUUUAUUUAUUUUAGAGAUAGGGUCUUACUCUGUUGCCCAUGCUGGUCUGGAACUCCUGGGCUCAAGCGAUCCUCCCACAC
rnacentral:lncRNA from 1 species